rnacentral:tRNA from 1 species
ACCAUUGGCUCCCAAAGCCAAAGUCCUAAAUUAGACUAUUCUCUGAU